GGAGACACCCGGGUGAUCGCUGGACCCACCUAAGUGGGUCUGGAGGAAAGUCCGGGCUCCACAGGGCAGGAUGGUCCGUAACGCGGACCGGGGGUGACCUCAGGGAAAGUGCCACAGAAAAUAUACCGCCCCGCGUUUGCGGGGUAAGGGUGAAAAGGUGAGGUAAGAG
rnacentral:RNase_P_RNA from 1 species